AGCAGUAGCCGCGGUAAUACGUAGGGUGCAAGCGUUAUCCGGAAUUAUUGGGCGUAAAGAGCUCGUAGGCGGUUUGUCGCGUCUGCUGUGAAAACCCGAGGCUCAACCUCAGGCCUGCAGUGGGUACGGGCAAACUAGAGUGCGGUAGGGGAGAUUGGAAUUCCUGGUGUAGCGGUGGAAUGCGCAGAUAUCAGGAGGAACACCGAUGGCGAAGGCAGAUCUCUGGGCCGUAACUGACGCUGAGGAGCGAAAGCGUGGGGAGCGAACAGGAUUAGAGACCCCGGUAGUCCCUGUCUCUUAUAC
rnacentral:rRNA from 1 species